AUGUUGGCAACCUGGACUCCCUUGCAAAAUAGCUUUUGAAGACGAAGUUUCUGCUAGCCAGGGCCCUUACAUGAUUGCAUGGAGCAGAUCCCCUCAACCCGAUCCUGCCACCUGUUGGGCUUUCCAUGAGCAACAACUUAAGACUGGAGGCAAGAAUGGUUUUGAAGGUGAGAAAACAGAAGUGUCUUCAGCAUUAUUUACCAAGCCAAUUAAAGAGUACAGAAUGAGUGCAGAUACUGGAAACCAAUCCAAUUUACUCAGGUCCUGAGCUGUGUAUCUUCUCACAUGAGGGAAGAACAAGAAAAAAUUGGCUCCAGUUGCAGAAGGUUUCAGGACAUCCAUCAGUAUUUCCCGACAUUACCGGGAUUCCUAGGCAAGUUACCAAGGCAAAUUAUAGAAUCACUUUAUAUAGAGAUCAUUAAAUUUAGGACAGAACAGAAAAUUACCCUGGGUUUGACACAGGCAUUUUAAAAUAUAGAGGUAGGUCCU